GAGUGUUUAGGGGCUACCGUAUUUGAGUGUAUGCAGGAUAUCGCGCAAAAUAGCAAGAGAGGACGGAUCUAUUGAUGUCCACACCCCUUACUCGUUUCUGCUUCACGGAUUUGGUUGUUCUCCACUUCGGGUCAAUCAUAUGACUGUUCUCCAGCUCUUGACUUCUUUUCUUAUUCCUCAAAAAUCGGUACCAACUCCUUGC
rnacentral:lncRNA from 1 species